rnacentral:rRNA from 1 species
GACGAACCGUGCGAACGUUAUUCGGAAUCACUGGGCUUAAAGCGCGUGUAGGCGGAGAGGCACGUCGGCCGUUGAAAGCCCCCGGCUCAACCGGGGAACGGGCGCCGAUACGACCUUUCUCGAGGGGCGUAGGGGGGGCUGGAACUUCCGGUGGAGCGGUGAAAUGCGUUGAGAUCGGAAGGAACGCCCGUGGCGAAAGCGAGCCCCUGGACGUCAUCUGACGCUGAGACGCGAAAGCCAGGGGAGCGAACGGG